rnacentral:rRNA from 1 species
UUCCUACGGGACGCAGCAGUGGGGAAUAUUGGGCAAUGGGCGCAAGCCUGACCCAGCAACGCCGCGUGAAGGAAGAAGGCUUUUGGGUUGUAAACUUCUUUUAUGAGGGACGAAAGAAAUGACGGUACCUCAUGAAUAAGCCACGGCUAACUCCGUGCCAGCAGCCGCGGUAAUACGUAGGUGGCAAGCGUUAUCCGUAUUUACUGGGUGUAAAGGGCGCGUAUGCGGGACUGCAAGUCAGAGGUGAAAAU